CAACGGGAGCCAUGCUUUUACUCCUCGGUUUGCUCAGAGCCUGAUGAGGAGAGGCUAAUAUACUUGUGUAUGGCAGUCCAGACUGCAGCAUCAAGCUUGGCUUUGUAUUUGUAUCCAUUCCAUGCAGUCACUAAAAGAGAGACAACCGGCAGGCUUGUGUCCAGAGACUUGUCUUCCACCUACACCUCACCAGAACACAAGGCAGAAAGGUACAGUGCAAGAUAGGGGAGAUGAGGCCAGAGAUUGCAAAAGCGAAUUGUUUUACAAUGCACUCUUCCAACUUCUCUCUCUUUCUCUCUUCCAACUUCUCUCUUUUC